UACGGGGGGAGCAAGCGUUGUUCGGAUUUACUGGGCGUAAGGCGCGUAGGCGGCCACCGCAAGUCGAUUGUGAAAUCUCCGGGCUUAACCCGGAAAGGUCAACCGAUACUGCGGGGCUAGAGUGCAGAAGGGGCAACUGGAAUUCUCGGUGUAGCGGUGAAAUGCGUAGAUAUCGAGAGGAACACCUGCGGCGAAGGCGGGUUGCUGGGCUGACACUGACGCUGAUGUGCGAAAGCUAGGGGAGCGAACGGG
rnacentral:rRNA from 1 species